UCAUGGCAGUGACGGGUGACGGAGAAUUAGGGUUCGAUUCCGGAGAGGGAGCCUGAGAGACGGCUACCACAUCUAAGGAAGGCAGCAGGCGCGCAAAUUACCCAAUCCUGACUGAGGGAGGUAGUGACAAGAAAUAACAACAGCGGGCUUUGUCUCGCUGAUUGGAAUGAGCACAAGGUAAAAGUCUUAGCUAGGACCGACUGGAGGGCAAGUCUGGUGCCAGCAGCCGCGGUAAUUCCAGCUCCAGUAGCGUAUAUUAAAGUUGUUGCAGUUAAAAAGCUCGUAGUUGGACGUCCACUCCUCGGAGCCGCCUGGCAACUGCGCGUGUCCUUAGCGGGAUGGCGCAGCGCUGCGCCCCUUUACCUUGAGAAAACUAGAGUGUUUAAGGCAGGCCACGCCUGAAUACUAUGCUGGGAAUAAUCUACACCACUGUCUUGGCGAGGCAGCUCUACACCUUUAAUAGGACCAGUUGGGGGCAUUCGUACUCAGCAGUCAGAGGUGAAAUUCCGGGAUUUGCUGAAGACGGACUAGUGCGAAAGCAUUUGCCAAGGAUGUUUUCAUUAAUCAAGAACGAAAGUAAAGGGAUCAAAGACGAUCAGAUACCGUCCUAGUCUUAACCAUAAACGAUGCCGACUAGGGAUUGGGGGGAGCGCUCAGAUCCCCUCAGCACCUUAGAGAAAUCAAAGUGUUUGGGUUCUGGGGGGAGUAUGGUCGCAAGACUGAAACUUAAAGGAAUUGACGGAAGGGCACCACAAGGAGUGGAGCCUGCGGCUUAAUUUGACCCAACACGGGGAAACUUACCAGGUCCAGACAUAGUCAGGAUUGACAGAUUGAGAGCUCUUUCUUGAUCCUAUGGGUGGUGGUGCAUGGCCGUUCUUAGUUGGUGGAGUGAUCUGUCUGGUUAAUUCCGAUAACGAACGAGACCUCAGCCUGCUAACUAGCCCCCGGGCUUCUUAGAGGGACUCCCAGGGCUACCUGGAGGAAGUGCGAGGCAAUAACAGGUCUGUGAUGCCCUUAGAUGUCCUGGGCCGCACGCGCGCUACACUGACGCAGCCACCCAGUCCCACGGCUGCCAAGCCCUGGCAACCUGCAAACUGCGUCGUAGUCGGGAUUGACCCUUGCAAUUCUUGGUCAUCAACCAGGAAUUCCUAGUAAGCGCAAGUCAUCAGCUUGCACUGAUUAAGUCCCUGCCCUUUGUACACACCGCCCGUCGCUCCUACCGAUUCCGAGUGCUCAGGUGAAUUUCUCGGACCCAUCAAGUUAAGUGAACCUUACCACUUA
rnacentral:rRNA from 1 species